GGGAAAAAAGGGGGGUACUUCCAGACAACUGAAGUCAUUUAUAUGGACAAAUUCGUUCAUAGAUUAACCUAGUUUCAAUGUACUACAUACAUCUGUUACACACUGCAGCAUAAUUAAAUAACUACAGAAAAUGUAAUACUGCGAGGAGUUUGAGCAGUCUGAGCAACAUGAAAAACAUCAACAAAUGACGGUGUAAAGCCUUCAACCCAUCAUCAUUUUUAAGUAAAAUAUAUUUAAAAUCCUGGAAACAUCAUCACCCUUCAUUGUCUCAAUCAGUUUCGUGGUUAAAAACUGUUAAAUAUGACAUAAUUUGCUUAAUUUUGCGCCGAAAUAAC
rnacentral:lncRNA from 1 species